AUCACUGGUGCCAAAUAAUACUUUGGAAUCCGGUUCGUUCUGGCGCGGAAUAUUCGUGCAGGAUGCGUGCGGAAUUGCAAACCACAGAGUCACAAAGGAUUUGGUUGGCCUCGACGAAUGGACGUCUUACAUUUGGACAUCUCCUGACCCAUUGAAUUCAGCAGUGUUAACUUGACAUAUGUGUCUGGAAAAGCAAUACAGUUUAAAAGAGGCAUCAGAGGGGGCUCCAACAACAAAAGAACACCACGGAGAAUAUGAACAGAACACCAUCAGAGUGAGAAGUUCAACCAAAGAGAUUUCCAAGAAACAAGUUUUCAUAAAUCAACAAUAAUGCUGCUGAAAAGAGUCCAGGCAAUUUUCAAGUAUUGUAUCCAUGGAAGUUGUGAGGAUCAGAAAGUCUUCUUUCUCCCUUAAAGCCUGCUUUUCCUACUAAGCUCAUCUGUGUGAACAACCUCUAGCUAUUGAACUAUAGAUCCCAUCAUAGCUGUUGAUUUCCAAAUUCAAGUUUUCGAACCAUUGACGUUGGAAAGAGAAAUCUUCAAGGAAGUAACAGGUCUACAACAAUAACAGAUAGAUCUUCUUCUUAUCCAUAUCUACUUCUAAUUGUUAUAUCCAUAUUUUAUCUAAUAUUUGUAUUUUUUUGUUAGUAACUUUCAUGAAUAGUUGUGUAAUAAUCUAACCUUUUAAUCUGGUUUAAAACUAAAGGUACACAAUCAUUUUUAAAUUGGAACACAAACUAAAAGGGACUAAAUGCAUAAUCUAAAUUCACAUUCAUGGAUAACGAUGUGGACAUUUUGGAUGUGGCCAUAAUAUCUUAUUGAGUCAGAUAACCAGUAUUGUCCCAAUUAUUCUUGAUUUUCAAAUCACAGGUUUGCUCUGGUCCUUUACCUAUGCUGUUUUUUUUACUCAUCAUGGGAUAUGGGCGUUGCUAGCUGGCCAGCAUUUAUUACCAGCUCCUAGUUGCCCUUGGGAAGGUGGUAUUGAGCUGCCUUCUUUAACUGCUGCAGUCCAUGUGCUCUAGCUUGACCCACUAUGCUUUUAGGGGGGCGGAAUUCCAGGAUUUUGACCCAGUGAAAGUGAAGGAA